GAUCAACGCUGGCGGCGUGCUUAACACAUGCAAGUCGAACGAAGUUUUUCUUUCGGGAGGAACUUAGUGGCGGACGGGUGAGUAACGCGUGGGUAACCUGCCCUGUACAGGGGGACAACAGCUGGGAACGGCUGCUAAUACCGCAUAAGCCCUUAGCACUGCAUGGUGCAUAGGGAAAAGGAGCAAUCCGGUACAGGAUGGACCCGCGUCUGAUUAGCCAGUUGGCAGGGUAACGGCCUACCAAAGCGACGAUCAGUAGCCGAUCUGAGAGGAUGUACGGCCACAUUGGGACUGAGACACGGCCCAGACUCCUACGGGAGGCAGCAGUGGGGAAUAUUGCACAAUGGAGGAAACUCUGAUGCAGCGACGCCGCGUGAGUGAAGAAGUAUUUCGGUAUGUAAAGCUCUAUCAGCAGGAAAGAAAAUGACGGUACCUGACUAAGAAGCACCGGCUAAAUACGUG
rnacentral:rRNA from 1 species